CCUACGGGAGGCAGCAGUGGGGGAUAUUGCACAAUGGGGGGAACCCUGAUGCAGCGACGCCGCGUGGGUGAAGAAGCGCCUCGGCGCGUAAAGCCCUGUCAGCAGGGAAGAAAAUGACGGUACCUGACGAAGAAGCCCCGGCUAACUACGUGCCAGCAGCCGCGGUAAUACGUAGGGGGCAAGCGUUAUCCGGAUUUACUGGGUGUAAAGGGGGCGCAGACGGCGAUGCAAGCCAGGAGUGAAAGCCCGGGGCCCAACCCCGGGACUGCUCUUGGAACUGCGUGGCUGGAGUGCAGGAGGGGCAGGCGGAAUUCCGGGUGUAGCGGUGAAAUGCGUAGAUAUCAGGAGGAACACCGGUGGCGAAGGCGGCCUGCUGGACUGCAACUGACGUUGAGGCCCGAAAGCGUGGGGAGCAAACAGGAUUAGAUACCCCAGUAGUC
rnacentral:rRNA from 1 species